GCCCUAUCUAGUAUGGUGGCUAUAACAAUCGGCUUGUAAUCGAGUGCCUCGGGCUCAAAUCCCGAAUAAGGCA